rnacentral:rRNA from 1 species
AGUGAACGCUGGCGGUAGGCCUAACACAUGCAAGUCGAACGGCAGCACAGUAAGAGCUUGCUCUUACGGGUGGCGAGUGGCGGACGGGUGAGGAAUACAUCGGAAUCUACUUUUUCGUGGGGGAUAACGUAGGGAAACUUACGCUAAUACCGCAUACGACCUACGGGUGAAAGCAGGAGAGCUUCGGACCUUGCCCGAUUGAAUGAGACGAUGUCGGAUUAGCUAGUUGGCGGGGUAAAGGCCCACCAAGGCGACGAUCCGUAGCUGGUCUGAGAGGAUGAUCAGCCACACUGGAACUGAGACACGGUCCAGACUCCUACGGGAGGCAGCAGUGGGGAAUAUUGGACAAUGGGCGCAAGCCUGAUCCAGCCAUACCGCGUGGGUGAAGAAGGCCUUCGGGUUGUAAAGCCCUUUUGUUGGGAAAGAAAAGCAGCAGGUUAAUACCCCGCUGUUCUGACGGUACCCAAAGAAUAAGCACCGGCUAACUUCGUG